GUGCUCCCUUCAGCAGCACAGAUACUAAAUCUGAAUGAUACCGAGAAGAUUAGCAUGACCCCUGCAUAAGAAUGACAUGCAAAUUUAUGAAGUGUCCCAUAAAAAA
rnacentral:snRNA from 1 species